UAGAGCACUGUUUCGGCUAGGGGGCCAUCCCGGCUUACCAACCCGAUGCAAACUGCGAAUACCGGAGAAUGUUAUCACGGGAGACACACGGCGGGUGCUAACGUCCGUCGUGAAGAGGGAAACAACCCAGACCGCCAGCUAAGGUCCCAAAGUCAUGGUUAAGUGGGAAACGAUGUGGGAAGGCCCAGACAGCCAGGAUGUUGGCUUAGAAGCAGCCAUCAUUUAAAGAAAGCGUAAUAGCUCACUGGUCGAGUCGGCCUGCGCGGAAGAUGUAACGGGGCUAAACCAUGCACCGAAGCUGCGGCAGCGACGCUGAUGCGUUGUUGGGUAGGGGAGCGUUCUGUAAGCCUGCGAAGGUGGCCUGUGAGGGUUGCUGGAGGUAUCAGAAGUGCGAAUGCUGACAUAAGUAACGAUAAAGCGGGUGAAAAGCCCGCUCGCCGGAAGACCAAGGGUUCCUGUCCAACGUUAAUCGGGGCAGGGUGAGUCGACCCCUAAGGCGAGGCCGAAAGGCGUAGUCGAUGGGAAACGGGUUAAUAUUCCCGUACUUGGUGUUACUGCGAAGGGGGGACGGAGAAGGCUAUGUUGGCCGGGCGACGGUUGUCCCGGUUUAAGCGUGUAGGUGUGUGUUCCAGGUAAAUCCGGUUCACUUUAACACUGAGGCGUGAUGACGAGGCACUACGGUGCUGAAGCAACAAAUGCCCUGCUUCCAGGAAAAGCCUCUAAGCAUCAGGUAACAUCAAAUCGUACCCCAAACCGACACAGGUGGUCAGGUAGAGAAUACCAAGGCGCUUGAGAGAACUCGGGUGAAGGAACUAGGCAAAAUGGUGCCGUAACUUCGGGAGAAGGCACGCUGACA
rnacentral:rRNA from 1 species